rnacentral:rRNA from 1 species
AAAUUGAAGAGUUUGAUCAUGGCUCAGAUUGAACGCUGGCGGCAGGCCUAACACAUGCAAGUCGAACGGUAACAGGAAGCAGCUUGCUGCUUYGCUGACGAGUGGCGGACGGGUGAGUAAUGUCUGGGAAACUGCCUGAUGGAGGGGGAUAACUACUGGAAACGGUAGCUAAUACCGCAUAACGUCGCAAGACCAAAGAGGGGGACCUUCGGGCCUCUUGCCAUCGGAUGUGCCCAGAUGGGAUUAGCUAGUAGGUGGGGUAACGGCUCACCUAGGCGACGAUCCCUAGCUGGUCUGAGAGGAUGACCAGCCACACUGGAACUGAGACACGGUCCAGACU